rnacentral:rRNA from 1 species
AGAGUUUGAUCAUGGCUCAGGACGAACGCUGGCGGCGUGCUUAACACAUGCAAGUCGAACGAUGAACCACUUCGGUGGGGAUUAGUGGCGAACGGGUGAGUAACACGUGGGCAAUCUGCCCUGCACUCUGGGACAAGCCCUGGAAACGGGGUCUAAUACCGGAUACUGAUCGCCUUGGGCAUCCUUGGUGAUCGAAAGCUCCGGCGGUGCAGGAUGAGCCCGCGGCCUAUCAGCUUGUUGGUGAGGUAAUGGCUCACCAAGGCGACGACGGGUAGCCGGCCUGAGAGGGCGACCGGCCACACUGGGACUGAGACACGGCCCAGACUCCUACGGGAGGCAGCAGUGGGGAAUAUUGCACAAUGGGCGAAAGCCUGAUGCAGCGACGCCGCGUGAGGGAUGACGGCCUUCGGGUUGUAAACCUCUUUCAGCAGGGAAGAAGCGAAAGUGACGGUACCUGCAGAAGAAGCGCCGGCUAACUACGUGCCAGCAGCCGCGGUAAUACGUAGGGCGCGAGCGUUGUCCGGAAUUAUUGGGCGUAAAGAGCUCGUAGGCGGCUUGUCACGUCGGUUGUGAAAGCCCGGGGCUUAACCCCGGGUCUGCAGUCGAUACGGGCAGGCUAGAGUUCGGUAGGGGAGAUCGGAAUUCCUGGUGUAGCGGUGAAAUGCGCAGAUAUCAGGAGGAACACCGGUGGCGAAGGCGGAUCUCUGGGCCGAUACUGACGCUGAGGAGCGAAAGCGUGGGGAGCGAACAGGAUUAGAUACCCUGGUAGUCCACGCCGUAAACGGUGGGCACUAGGUGUGGGCGACAUUCCACGUCGUCCGUGCCGCAGCUAACGCAUUAAGUGCCCCGCCUGGGGAGUACGGCCGCAAGGCUAAAACUCAAAGGAAUUGACGG